GCCCUCGUAGCUCAGUGGAUAGAGCGCCGGCCUCCGGAGCCGGGUGCGCAGGUUCGAGUCCUGCCGAGGGCACC
rnacentral:tRNA from 1 species